GAUCAGGCUCAGGAUGAACGCUGGCGGCGUGCCUAACACAUGCAAGUCGAGCGAAGCACUUUGCUUAGAUUCUUCGGAUGAAGAGGAUUGUGACUGAGCGGCGGACGGGUGAGUAACGCGUGGGUAACCUGCCUCAUACAGGGGGAUAACAGUUAGAAAUGACUGCUAAUACCGCAUAAGACCACAGCACCGCAUGGUGCGGGGGUAAAAACUCCGGUGGUAUGAGAUGGACCCGCG
rnacentral:rRNA from 1 species